rnacentral:lncRNA from 1 species
CCUUUCAUAAAAACCAUUUACUUAAUGCUUAGUAAACAUAUUCUUUAUGCUAGUAAACAAAAGAAUAAUUACUGGAUAUUAGUUCUAUUUCAACUAUAUCUACUCCAACAAUUGUAGUUCCCUACAAAGCAAAAUGUUCACCUGCAAAGUCUUUUUUUCCCUUGCGAUGUAUGUUGCCUCACACAUAUGUUUUUCUCGAGCAACUCACACGUUUUCUUGCUGGUCAGAUGUCAUACAUAACAAAUUCGAAGAAAGAUUCAAGUGAGUUAACUAAUAUUAAAAAAUAAAAUAAGCAUACGAAAGUAAACACUGUCACGUAGAAGCUUGCUUAUAUUGAGCCCAUCCAGAAAUAAAACUAAGAAAUUUAGAAUUGAUUCUCUGAAACAAAGAUUUUCUUUCAAAUUCCUCAAAUUUUGACAGAGAAAAAGGGGUAAAGGAAACCCAGAAAGACUAUCUCUCUGUCUAAUGAAAAUUGCUAGAAAUUGUGAAGAUUAUGUCGAGAAAAUGAUUAGUAGCGACACAUAUACAUCUACCCAUCACAAUUUCUAAAUGAAGUGGAGGAUGAAACCACUCAAUACCAAUCAAUCAACACAUAACAAUACAAUUUAAAUAAGAAACUAAAUGUAUAAAUAUAUAUAUAUAUAUAUUAGACACGAAACAAAAGGGACAUUGCAUUUUAUUAAAUAAAAAGAUAGAUAUAUAUAUAUAUAUAUAAAGGGUGAUGAAGGAAACCUGAAGAUUUAGAUCCAGUGAGCCAAAAUGAACAAAACCUGAUGAUCACUUUAUAUUUUCUAAUUUCCGAAGCCAUCAAGAAAUCGUUGGUUUUCUCUUGUUUGUGCCCGUUCCUGACCUAGGGUGGGA